AGCCAACAGAUAUCGUAUUUUUAUUUUAUUUUUAGGAGCUGAUCCUUUUGGGUCUCCGACGCUCCACCGGCCCUGGAAUGAAGGAACUCCUCAACUUUACAAUGAACGUCCCAAUUACAUUCAGUUACAUAUGUUAUACUGUGUGUUUCCUCUGUGACCUCUGCUGCUUUUCACAGGUGAAAUUCUACACAUUUCAUGACAGGGAUAUGGCUCCUGAGGGCUCCACCCUGGAGGAGUCCAACAGGAAUCUGGAUGAAAUAACAGACCUGGCUCUCCAGCUGCAGAGCCAGACUGGAAUCAAGGUGCUGUGGGUCACCUGCAACCUCUUUGCACACCCAAGGUCAGUGUUUUAUUCCGACAACCUGAGGUUUCGCAGGGCAAGAGGCCCUCGCUCAUUUAGUCUGUAAACUCAGAAGCACAAGUUUAAAGUAACAAUAUACACAUUUUAUUCAUGAAUGGUACCGCCACCAACCCUGACUGUUAUGUUCUGGCCUACACUGGCGCUCAGGUUAAGAAGGGGCUUGAUACUGCCAAGAAGCUGGGUGCAGAACAUUUUGGUAUGAGUGACUUGAUGGUGUCUCUGUCUAAAUAUCAAUAUGCUCCUUCAAUGCAACAAUGUUGCUACAUUAUUGUAUAUUUGUCUCCUGAGUUCUUUGGGGAGGAAGGGAAGGGUUCCUUUCUGUCCACAAUACUGAUGUUGCUGCUGAUGAAGCACAUGUCCAACUUCUUCAAAAUGGCUGUCAAAUACAAAGAGAAGAUUGGGUUAAAGUGUCAGUUUCUUAUUGAACCCAAGCCUAAGGAGCCCUGCAAACACCAGUAUGACUAUGAUGCUAUGAGUGUCAUUGGAUUCCUGAAGCAUUAUGAUCUGGAGAGUCACUUUAAGUUGAACAUCGAGCCCAACCACACCACCCUGGCAGGACAGUCAUACGAACAUGAUGUUGUCAUGGCCUCUGCGUGA
rnacentral:lncRNA from 1 species